rnacentral:pre_miRNA from 1 species
GGCCCAACUUUGGAGUAGAGUAGAUUAUCAGGAUCGAAUGACCCUUAUGACCUACUCUACUUCAAGUUUGUGCCC